rnacentral:tRNA from 1 species
GCCUGGGUGGCUCAGUCGGUUGAGCGUCCGACUUCGGCUCAGGUCAUGAUCUCGCAGUUCGUGGGUUCGAGCCCCGCGUCGGGCU